UACGGGGGGGGCAAGCGUUGUUCGGAAUUACUGAGCGUAAAGGGCUCGUAGGGGGCCAACUAAGUCAGACGUGAAAUCCCUCGGCUUAACCGGGGAACUGCGUCUGAUACUGGAUGGCUUGAGUUCGGGAGAGGGAUGCGGAAUUCCAGGUGUAGCGGUGAAAUGCGUAGAUAUCUGGAGGAACACCGGUGGCGAAGGCGGCAUCCUGGACCGACACUGACACUGAGGAGCGAAAGCCAGGGGAGCAAACGGG
rnacentral:rRNA from 1 species